UUUUUAGAUUUUAAACACACUACCAAACCCCCCACUAAACCGUUUUUGUUCUAGACUUCCUUACUUUAACUUAUUUCAAAGGCUUUUUGCAGCAAAAGAUCCUCCUUCCCCUGUGGAUUUGAUCCCUAAGUACUACAAUCGAUCAGCAGUGCACUUGCGGCUAUUGAUUUCAAUUAGGGUAAAACUUGACAACCCUCGACACCACACAUCAAGUCACACCACACCAACAUCAGAAAGCAAAAAAAAAAGAAAUUGAAAAACGAAAGCAAAUGAAAGCAAGUAAAAAUCGAUGGCAGAUUGAAAGCAGAAAAAUUGAAUGAAAAACAAAUAAAAUCGAAGGUUGUAAGCAAUUAAAAACAAACGCUGGGCUCAAGGGUAUCUCAGGGAUUCAUGGACUAAGCUAUGUCGAUUUUAAACAAAUGAUAAAGGUAAUCAACUACGUAUGUUCUAGAACUCGAGGCACGGAAGUAUGAAUAGCCUACUUUCGCAGCACUAAACAAUUUUCUCUCGCAACCCUGAUCAGUAGAUUUCCACUCUGAUCCUGGAAAGGAGAAGAUGCAAUAGCAGAACAAGACUCAUCAACAUUCACAACUCAACUAAAGGUAGGUUUCCACUCCUAUAGAAGAAUUAUUCGUUUCACCCUAGUUUAGACAAUCAAUCAAAGCUUUCGCAACAUAUCAUAUCAGAUUGGCUUCUAAGUGGCCAGCAAAGAAUAACGCAGUAAGAUCAAAGGCAAACAAAGAACAUGUAGAAGAUUAUAUAUCCUAAAUCUAUUGAGUCAUAGAAGAAGACACACAAAAUUCCCUUUGAACAAUUCCUUUAAACCCAACUAGAAAACUACACAAACAUAUUGUAACGAAUCAUCAUAGAGUAUUGAAAGUUGCAGGAAAUUAAAGAAAACAGGGAAGAAAAACGAAGAACAGAGGCGACGGCGGAGGCGCGAUGAUGCUCUCCUUCAGCGGCUCCUCCUUAUAAAACGGCAGCCUCUCUCUCUAGGGUUUGUGAGUCUCACACAAAAAUCUAAGCACAAAGACGAACACACCCUUUAGAAUGACCUAAAGGGGGUAUUUAUAGCUUCUAGAGUUGUCCUAGACUAGGGCUUCAGAAAUAAUAAAGGGAAUCGACUUGGGCUUUAAUUAGGUUGUCUGGGAAGUGAACGACUAAUGGCCGCGGUCGCGGUGCUUCUACCAGUGGGGAAAUGAGGUUUGGGCCGCGGUCCCGGCUUGUGUCUUCCGAGACUGCAUUUUCUGUCUUUAUUGCAUCGAGUGUAUCUGAAUAUCUAACCGUUGGAUUAUCUCCAAACCAAGUGCAUUACAAAGCUGGUUGUAUCCUCUAUGUUGUCACAUAUUUUGAGAGUGAUCAGAGGGUGAGAAUGUCUUCAUCGCUUGUCAUAAUUCUGACGGUCUAAAAUUGCUCAUUUGUUCCAAAUUGCAUAUCUUUUGUCCAAGUUUCCUGAAAAGUCUUUUUAAACUCUAAAACAUUGAAACCACUUUAAAAACCAUUGAAAACAGAGUUUAAAAAACACGUGUAAGACAUUAUUAUGAUCCAUAAAAGUGAUCAAAAUACGGUGUUAUCAACUCCCCCAGACAUACCUUUUUGUUUGUCCUCAAACAAACUUAGAUCAAAGCAGGAAAGAAUUUUAAAAAUCGCAGGAACUAAACAACAUCUCAGUGACCGUCCUUCUAAACCAUAACUUAUCGUGAAACAUCUAAUUAGAUCUAGUCUAGAAAAUUCUCACUAAAACACAAGCAAAACUAGUCCGUUAAUCUGUCAUGCGAAAAUCUACACACUUAGAUCUAACUUCCAGUCAACUAGCUCUCAACUAGUUCUCAUCAAAGACAUUAUUCAGG
rnacentral:lncRNA from 1 species